UGGGGAAUAUUGCACAAUGGGCGCAAGCCUGAUGCAGCCAUGCCGCGUGUAUGAAGAAGGCCUUCGGGUUGUAAAGUACUUUCAGCGGGGAGGAAGGCGAUAAGGUUAAUAACCUUGUCGAUUGACGUUACCCGCAGAAGAAGCACCGGCUAACUCCGUGCCAGCAGCCGCGGUAAUACGGAGGGUGCAAGCGUUAAUCGGAAUUACUGGGCGUAAAGCGCACGCAGGCGGUCUGUCAAGUCGGAUGUGAAAUCCGCGGGCUCAACCUGGGAACUGCAUUCGAAACUGGCAGGCUAGAGUCUUGUAGAGGGGGGUAUAAUUCCAGGUGUAGCGGUGAAAUGCGUAGAGAUCUGGAGGAAUACCGGUGGCGAAGGCGUCCCCCUGGACAAAGACUGACGCUCAGGUGCGAAAGCGUGGGGAGCAAACA
rnacentral:rRNA from 1 species